rnacentral:sRNA from 1 species
CACCGCCUGGGGAGUACGACCGCAAGGUUAAAACUCAAAUGAAUUGACGGGGACCCGCACAAGCAGUGGAGCAUGUGGUUUAAUUCGAAGAUACGCGCAGAACCUUACCAACACUUGACAUGUUCGUCGCGAACCUAAGAGAUUAGGUUCUUCAGUUUGGCUGGACGAAACACAGGUGCUGCAUGGCUGUCGUCAGCUCGUGUCGUGAGAUGUUGGGUUAAGUCCCGCAACGAGCGCAACCCUUACUUUUAGUUGCCACCAUUAAGUUGGGCACUCUAAAAGAACUGCCAGUGAUAAGCUGGAGGAAGGUGGGGAUGACGUCAAGUCCUCAUGGCCCUUACGUGUUGGGCUACACACGUGCUACAAUGGUAUUCACAGUGAGAUGCAAAGAGGCGACUCUAAGCUAAUCCCAAAAAAAUACCUCAGUUCGGAUUGUACUCUGCAACUCGAGUACAUGAAGCUGGAAUUGCUAGUAAUCGCGGAUCAGCGCGCCGCGGUGAAUACGUUCCCGGGUCUUGUACACACCGCCCGUCACACCAUGGAAGUUGGUUACACCUUAAGACAGAGCGUAAAACCUUUGGCUACGGUACGAUCAGCAACUGGGGUGAAGUCGUAACAAGGUAGCCGUAGGGGAACCUGCGGCUGGAUCACCUCCUUUCUAAGGAAAUCGAUAAUAUUAUUUUCGAUUUAAAAAAACCAGUAAUGUGACCGUCCUCAUUUCUCUUCUUUUUAAUGUCUCUGAGUGUUAUGUGAUCUAAGGGGCCGGUAGCUCAGGUGGUUAGAGCGCACCCCUGAUAAGGGUGAGGUCGGAAGUUCGAGUCUUCCUCGGCCCACCAAUAUUUCGGGGGAUUAGCUCAGCUGGGAGAGCGCCUGAUUUGCAUUCAGGAGGUCAGCGGUUCGAUCCCGCUAUCCUCCACCAAAAUUUAAGACAUUUAGCUUUUUUAAAUCGUAAAUAAUUUUAUUAUCAAUAUCUAUAUCCGAUUGUUUUCAAAUUUUUUUGAAAACAAUCAAAACAAAAAUUUAAUUUAUUACAGAAAAGUUUUUUUCUG